CCUACGGGAGGCAGCAGUGGGGAAUAUUGCACAAUGGGGGAAACCCUGAUGCAGCGACGCCGCGUGAGCGAUGAAGUACUUCGGUAUGUAAAGCUCUAUCAGCAGGGAAGAAAAUGACGGUACCUGACUAAGAAGCCCCGGCAAACUACGUGCCAGCAGCCGCGGUAAUACGUAGGGGGCAAGCGUUAUCCGGAUUUACUGGGUGUAAAGGGAGCGUAGGCGGCUGUGCAAGCCAGAUGUGAAAGCCCGGGGCUCAACCCCGGGACUGCAUUUGGAACUGUGUAGCUGGAGUGUUGGAGAGGCAGGCGGAAUACCUAGUGUAGCGGUGAAAUGCGUAGAUAUUAGGUGGAACACCAGUGGCGAAGGCGGCUUGCUGGACAAUGACUGACGUUGAGGCUCGAAAGCGUGGGGAGCAAACAGGAUUAGAUACCCGUGUAGUC
rnacentral:rRNA from 1 species